AUCAACGGCCAUACCACGUUAAAAGCAACGGUUCUCGUCCGAUCACCGAAGUUAAGCCAGCGGCGGGCGUAGUAAGUACCGAGAUGGGAGACCGCUUGGGAACACUGCGUGCUGUUGACA
rnacentral:rRNA from 1 species